rnacentral:rRNA from 1 species
GACGAACGCUGGCGGCGUGCCUAAUACAUGCAAGUAGAACGCUGAGGUUUGGUGUUUACACUAGACUGAUGAGUUGCGAACGGGUGAGUAACGCGUAGGUAACCUGCCUCAUAGCGGGGGAUAACUAUUGGAAACGAUAGCUAAUACCGCAUAAGAGUAAUUAACACAUGUUAGUUAUUUAAAAGGAGCAAUUGCUUCACUGUGAGAUGGACCUGCGUUGUAUUAGCUAGUUGGUGAGGUAAAGGCUCACCAAGGCGACGAUACAUAGCCGACCUGAGAGGGUGAUCGGCCACACUGGGACUGAGACACGGCCCAGACUCCUACGGGAGGCAGCAGUAGGGAAUCUUCGGCAAUGGACGGAAGUCUGACCGAGCAACGCCGCGUGAGUGAAGAAGGUUUUCGGAUCGUAAAGCUCUGUUGUUAGAGAAGAACGUUGGUAGGAGUGGAAAAUCUACCAAGUGACGGUAACUAACCAGAAAGGGACGGCUAACUACGUGCCAGCAGCCGCGGUAAUACGUAGGUCCCGAGCGUUGUCCGGAUUUAUUGGGCGUAAAGCGAGCGCAGGCGGUUCUUUAAGUCUGAAGUUAAAGGCAGUGGCUUAACCAUUGUACGCUUUGGAAACUGGAGGACUUGAGUGCAGAAGGGGAGAGUGGAAUUCCAUGUGUAGCGGUGAAAUGCGUAGAUAUAUGGAGGAACACCGGUGGCGAAAGCGGCUCUCUGGUCUGUAACUGACGCUGAGGCUCGAAAGCGUGGGGAGCAAACAGGAUUAGAUACCCUGGUAGUCCACGCCGUAAACGAUGAGUGCUAGGUGUUAGGCCCUUUCCGGGGCUUAGUGCCGCAGCUAACGCAUUAAGCACUCCGCC